rnacentral:lncRNA from 1 species
CAUUUGUUAUCUUAAAAUUUUAGAAGAUAGAAGUCCAAAGUGACUCACACUGGGCUCAAAAAAGGUGUCAGCAGGGUGGUGUUCCUUCAGGAGAAUCUGUUCUUGCAUCUUCUAGCUUCUGGAGGCCUCUUGUAUUUCAUGGAUAGUCUCUUUCUCCAUCUUUAAAGCCAGUAACAUGACAUCUUCAAAUCUCUCCCUCUCUUGAACUCUUUUUAAUCUCCCUCUUUCACUCAUACGGGCUCUCGUGAUUACAUUGGAUCUACCCAGUGAGUUUAUGAUGAAGUCAUUUCAAAAGUCCUUGGCUUAAUAUCGUCUAAGUGUUCCAGUGUAAGAAGACAUAUUCACAGGUUCCGGUGAUAGAGUGUGAUAUUCUAAUCAGCCUGCUGUCCGUGUAAUGGGUACAGCACAGACAGUCCCUGGCAUGAGGUCAAAACCCAAUGGCUAAAAGCGUUGCCAGAGGUGACCGAAGUAGAUGGGAAUGCUCUUGAUUAUUCACGUCUUUAGAAUGCAGUGGGGGUAACCAGCACUUAGAAGGGCAGUGGAGCCCGGGUACUACCCAGGCCCCACCCCCACAGGACAGCAGGUGUCUCUCUGAGGGGGAGCCCCUCCUGUCUCUCCAGAAGAGAACUGCUGAUGAAUUCAACCCCGAGUUAACUCUGCAUCACACGGCUGCAUCUCACAGUCGUUUUUGUUCUCUGGUGCUGGCUGCCUUACCAAUACUUCGUGGUCCUCAGUAUAAUCAAGUUCCUAAAGAAUAG